UAUCAAUAAGCGGAGGAAAAGAAACCAACAGGGAUUGCCUCAGUAGCGGCGAGUGAAGCGGCAAAAGCUCAAAUUUGAAAUCUGGCGUCUUUGGCGUCCGAGUUGUAAUUUGAAGAAGGUAUCUUUGGGCCCGGCUCUUGUCUAUGUUCCUUGGAACAGGACGUCACAGAGGGUGAGAAUCCCGUGCGAUGAGAUGACCCGGGUCUGUGUAAAGUUCCUUCGACGAGUCGAGUUGUUUGGGAAUGCAGCUCUAAGUGGGUGGUAAAUUCCAUCUAAAGCUAAAUAUUGGCGAGAGACCGAUAGCGAACAAGUACAGUGAUGGAAAGAUGAAAAGAACUUUGAAAAGAGAGUGAAAAAGUACGUGAAAUUGUUGAAAGGGAAGGGCUUGAGAUCAGACUUGGUAUUUUGCAUGUUGCUCUCUCGGGGGCGGCCGCUGCGGUUUACCGGGCCAGCAUCGGUUUGGAGCGGCAGGAUAAUGGCGGAGGAAUGUGGCACGGCUUCUGCUGUGUGUUAUAGCCUCUGACGAUACUGCCAGCCUAGACCGAGGACUGCGGUUUUUACCUAGGAUGUUGGCAUAAUGAUCUUAAGUCGCCCGUCUUGAAACACGGACCAAGGAGUCUAACGUCUAUGCGAGUGUUUGGGUGUAAAACCCGUACGCGUAAUGAAAGUGAACGAAGGUGGGGGCCCAUUAGGGUGCACCAUCGACCGAUCCUGAUGUGUUCGGAUGGAUUUGAGUAAGAGCAUAGCUGUUGGGACCCGAAAGAUGGUGAACUAUGCCUGAAUAGGGUGAAGCCAGAGGAAACUCUGGUGGAGGCUCGUAGCGGUUCUGACGUGCAAAUCGAUCGUCGAA
rnacentral:rRNA from 2 species